rnacentral:misc_RNA from 1 species
AUUAUCAACCCUCAAGCCCGGCUUGUUGUUGGACUCGGUGAGGUUAUCCUCACCGGCCUCAAAGAUAAUGACGGUGUCUGGAGGACCCUCGGUACAAUGAGCUUUCUAAGCACGUACUGAAGUGGACUUCGAGGCCCGGUCUCUUUUUAACUAUUUACAAGGUUGACCUCGGAUCAGGUAGGGAUACCCGCUGAACUUAA